GACGAACGCUGGCGGCGUGCUUAACACAUGCAAGUCGAACGGAAAGGCCCUGCUUUUGUGGGGUGCUCGAGUGGCGAACGGGUGAGUAACAAGUGAGUAAGCUGCCCUUGACUUUGGGAUAACUUCAGGAAACUGGGGCUAAUACCGGAUAGGAACGCCGGCUGCAUGGUGGGGGUUGGAAAGUUUCGGCGGUUGGGGAUGGACUCGCGGCUUAUCAGCUUGUUGGUGGGGUAGUGGCUUACCAAGGCUUUGACGGGUAGCCGGCCUGAGAGGGUGACCGGCCACAUUGGGACUGAGAUACGGCCCAGACUCCUACGGGAGGCAGCAGUGGGGAAUAUUGCACAAUGGGCGGAAGCCUGAUGCAGCAACGCCGCGUGCGGGAUGACGGCCUUCGGGUUGUAAACCGCUUUCGCCUGUGACGAAGCGUGAGUGACGGUAAUGGGUAAAGAAGCACCGGCUAACUACGUG
rnacentral:rRNA from 1 species